rnacentral:rRNA from 1 species
ACGCACGCUGGCGGCGUGCUUAACACAUGCAAGUCGAACGGAAAGGCCCUGCUUUUGUGGGGUGCUCGAGUGGCGAACGGGUGAGUAACACGUGAGUAACCUGCCCUUGACUUUGGGAUAACUUCAGGAAACUGGGGCUAAUACCGGAUAGGAGCUCCUGCUGCAUGGUGGGGGUUGGAAAGUUUCGGCGGUUGGGGAUGGACUUGCGGCUUAUCAGCUUGUUGGUGGGGUAGUGGCUUACCAAGGCUUUGACGGGUAGCCGGCCUGAGAGGGUGACCGGCCACAUUGGGACUGAGAUACGGCCCAGACUCCUACGGGAGGCAGCAGUGGGGAAUAUUGCACAAUGGGCGGAAGCCUGAUGCAGCAACGCCGCGUGCGGGAUGACGGCCUUCGGGUUGUAAACCGCUUUCGCCUGUGACGAAGCGUGAGUGACGGUAAUGGGUAAAGAAGCACCGGCUAACUACGUG